UUUAUCUUGUCGGAGUGCCCAUUUUCCAAAAAGCAUUCGUGAUGCCUCAAGGUGGCAAGUCAGUGAACCUCCAGGAACUUACAUCAGUAAGUAAACGGAGUGAGCGGACGAAGCCAACGAAGAGACAGCGCGAAGGAUAAAGUGGAAAAGGCUGAGACCGUUAAUUCGGGAUCCGCGGAACCUGAUCAGGCUAAUACCUGCGAAGGGAACAAGAGUAAACUGCAA
rnacentral:ncRNA from 1 species